rnacentral:lncRNA from 1 species
CAAAUACACAAGGAAAGCUCCAUGGAAGAUAAAGGCAGAGAUUUACAAGCCAAGGAAUGUCAAAGACUGCCAGCACACCACCAGAAGCUAGCAGAGAGGCAUGGAACAGAUUCUUCUUCACAACCUCAGAGGGAAAACCCUGCUGAUACCUGGAUUUCAAGCUCCUGGCCUCCAGAACGAAGUCCCUGGAGAGAGGACAUGAUGUCUGAAGCUAUGGCAGCCAUCUUGUAACUAUGAGGCCACAAACAAGAAAAGCAAAAACCAGAGUGAAGCAUGGCAGAGCAGAAAGAUGGAAAGAACCUGGAUACAUAAGAGUGUCACUGUGCAGCUGUACCCACCCUAGACUGCAUAUACCUGGACUUUAAGUAAAUGACAAAUAUCCUUUAUUCUAUCUCAAGCCAUUGCUUCUUCAUCUUUUUUGUGUCAUGACAAUCACAGUGGGUGGUAAUAUUUGUACUGCCCUCUGGGGAACACAGAGGAGACUGCUGGCACCUGAGGUGAACUAUGCUGGGGGCUUCAGCUGCCCCAGGACUCCUCCCUACCUUGACGCCUGAGGGGAUACAUAUCUCUGCACAUCUCUUUGUGGCUCAUCAAUGGGCCUCACCAUACACGUUGAAAAGUUCUAGUUUAAGCCAUGCUUACCUGUUACUUGGCUGAAUGCACUUCUAAGUAAAACUUGGACUCAAUGCUGCUUGUCAAUGGAAAGUGAUGAGAUUUAUAAGAUAUGAUACAUUCUCUAGCAACAUAUGAAUAUGCAAAAAAUACUGAUCUUAGCCCAAAUCACAUCAUAUGAUUCUACUGACAGAACUAUUUGCUAUUUAACUCGUGUUCUUUCUUGUCAGUAAUGGGGCCACUUCCUGAUUAACUACAGGCACAUUUCAUGAGAUCCAAACAUAGAAAUUUUUCUUUCUUUUUUUUUCUGAGACAGAGUCUCCUCAGUCGCCCAGGCUGGAGUGCAGUGGCACGAUUUUGGCUCAUGCAACCUCUGCCUCCGGGGUUCAAGCGAUUCUCCUGCCUCACCUUCCUGAGUAGCUGGGACUACAGGCACUUGCCAUCAUGCCCAGCCAAUUUUUGUAUUUUUCUAGAGAUGGGGUUUUCCCAUGUUGACUAGACUGGUCUUGAACUCCUGGGCUCAAGUGAUCCUCCUGCCUCAGCCUCCCAAAAUGCUGGGAUUACAGGCAUGAGCCACCUUGCCCAGCCUAUAGGAAUGUUUCAAACGACGCAUUUGAGAGUACAUUCAUAAUGGUUGAAGAAUUAUAGAUUUUAGGGAAAAAAGUUUCAUUUUAUCUAGAAGUUCAUCUUACGGGUCAAGUUAUUAUGUUUUUUUAUAUGGUCUUAGGUUUGGGUACACAAUGACCUUGGCAAUAAUUGAUUUUUCUAUGAGCCUGACAUUAAUGUUUCUAAGCAAGUCCCUUUUGUCAGCUCCACUGGUGCUUACCGUAGAGGGUUGAUGGGUGCAUUAAAUAAAAUAAUACCUGUAAAGCUCUUGGCUGACUACAUUGCAUACAGUACACAUCAAAGACAUAGUUCUUAGGAUUAUUAUAAACAAAAAUGUAAAAAGAAUGUGCAUGAAUUAAUGGUAGUCAUAACUCAUUGGAUACAAAAUAUCUUCCAUAUGGAUACAGUAAAAUACUACAUAAACAUUACUAUAAAAGUGCUAUAAAAAUAUGAAGCUCUCACCACUCCCCAGAACUCAUGUAAUUAUUUUAACCCGAGGCCAGCUCUCAGGUGACCCACCUUCCUGUUUUGGCAAAGAAGUGCCAUGCUCUGGUUACAUCUGAGAGCUGUGUAUUCUUAAACAAAAAUAUCCAGUUCCCCACUUUUCCAGAGAUCGCACUGAGAGGGCUUUAUGUGGGAGUCCCUUGUUUAUUAAGAACUGUUUCUAUGUCACGGGAGGCCAGGAAAUGAAUUUUAAAUCUGUCUUAACCACAGAAUGACACACGGGACAAAUGACAAGAGCAAACUGGGGAGCUCUGCUCUCUCUCACAGUGCCUGGGCUGAUGAGUUCAACACAUCUGUUUGCACUUGAAAAGUCAGAUGUACUAAUUAUUGUUACAAACACAAAUAAAAGUGAUCAAUGUACAUCUUCCUGGAAUUAAACCCUUUAUGAAGCAACAUUGUCACUUUUGGAAUCCCUUCUUGGUUCAGUCAAGCAUGGGCAUCUCAAAUGUUGCAUGUGGAUAAUUAUGAAACAUUUUCUGAGCACUUAUGCCAAGGACAAUGAGCAAUAUGAUCAGGGAUGUGCAGUUUUCACCCUGUAGCACUCUUCCUUUACUGCAGGCAUCAUACACAGCUCCAGGCAAGUCAUUUUUCCUAACUCUGUCUGCCUAACUCACUUUGUGUAGAUUUUUCAUUGAAUACCAUUUGCUUUCUAUUGUGACUAUUUAUACAAAUAUUAUAGUCUCUCAAGGGCAAUGAUUUUCCAUCUUUUCCAUCCUUUCUAGCAUCUUGU